UACGUAGGGGGCUAGCGUUGUCCGGAAUCAUUGGGCGUAAAGCGCGCGCAGGCGGUCCUUUAAGUCUGAUGUGAAAUCCCACGGCUCAACCGUGGAAGGUCAUUGGAAACUGGGGGACUUGAGUACAGAAGAGGAAAGUGGAAUUCCAAGUGUAGCGGUGAAAUGCGUAGAGAUUUGGAGGAACACCAGUGGCGAAGGCGACUUUCUGGUCUGUAACUGACGCUGAGGCGCGAAAGCGUGGGGAGCAAACAGG
rnacentral:rRNA from 1 species